rnacentral:rRNA from 1 species
AUGGCUAACCAAGAUUUUCAACCUCAUUUUUCGGCAAACAAGAUGCCAGAAGAAUGGAGACGUAGUAUAUUAGUACCAAUCUUCAAGAACAAGGGGGAUGUUCAGAGUUGUACUAAUUACCGUGGAAUUAAGCUGAUGAGCCAUACACUGAAGCUAUGGGAGAGAGUCAUUGAGCACCGCUUAAGAAUAAUGACAAGUGUGACCAAAAAUCAGUUUGGUUUCAUGCCUGGGAGGUCGACCAUGGAAGCCAUUUUCUUGGUACGACAACUUAUGGAGAGAUAUAGGGAGCAAAAGAAGGACUUGCAUAUGGUGUUCAUUGACUUGGAGAAGGCCUAUGAUAAGAUACCGCGAAAUGUCAUGUGGUGGGCCUUGGAGAAACACAAA